GCCAAGUGUUCUGAAACAUUGGACCGUUGUUGUCCUAUGCCGACACAAGCUUGGGAGCAGGUGGUAUUUGUUGCCUGGGCCCCGCCGUAGUCCCCACACCGAUUCGAAUCAACUCGUCUCUUGGGGUGUGUUUGGGAGUUUAUGCUCGUCUUUUGUUGAGACGAUGCGUGAUUUAAUUUUUUUUUGUUUUUUGGCCUUUUCCAGUAAGUGAGGAGAUGGCAGGACGAGGAACCAACCAAUAGAUGGAGGAGGCAGGACGCAGAGGGGCACGUGUGGCGCGGUACAAAGCGCAGACACAUG
rnacentral:lncRNA from 1 species